rnacentral:rRNA from 1 species
UACAGAGGUCUCAAGCGUUGUUCGGAUUCAUUGGGCGUAAAGGGGGCGUAGGUGGCGCCGUAAGUCAGGUGUGAAAUCUCGGGGCUCAACCCCGAAACUGCACUUGAUACUGCGGUGCUCGAGUACUGGAGAGGAGAUUGGAAUUUACGGUGUAGCAGUGAAAUGCGUAGAUAUCGUAAGGAAGACCAGUGGCGAAGGCGAAUCUCUGGACAGUUACUGACACUGAGGCUCGAAGGCCAGGGGAGCAAACGGG